GUGCUUGCUUUGGCAGCACAUAUACUAAAAUUGGAAUGAUACAGAGAAGAUUAGCAUGGCCCCUGUGCCAGGUUGACAAAAACAAAAACCAAAAAACUUAUGUCUAA